rnacentral:rRNA from 1 species
AACCAGCACCUCAAGUGGUCAGGAUGAUUAUUGGGCCGUAAACGACAUCCGUAGCUCGUUUUGUAAGUUUUCGGUUAAAUCCAUACGCUUAACGUAUGGGCUGCCGGGAAUACUGCAUAACUAGGAAGUGGGAGAGGUAGACGGUACUCGGUAGGAAGGGGUAAAAUCCUUUGAUCUAUUGAUGACCACCUGUGGCGAAGGCGGUCUACCAGAACACGUUCGACGGUGA